UUAGGUAAUCAAAAACCUAAAACGUUCGUCACUUGCGAUAGAUGCCGCCCACCCCGUGCGCCGUGCGACGCCCCUCUGCUGAACCACCUCACCACUGCCUUCCCACAGUCGGCCAUCUCGGAGGUCGUGGCUUUCCUGAAGGCUAGUCGUCGCUCCCUCUCUCGCGUCUCCCUCUCGCGAUUGCGACGCACGCCUCACCGGUUGUCUGCGUGCCCCACUACCUGCUGCCUGUGAGCCCCACCGCCGCGUUGGGCAUCGACUUGCGCCUUCCCCCACCUGGACCAAAUCACCGAUCGCCACCUCUUGAUCGUCGUCAUUACUGCCUUCCCUUCCCCUCUGCUGUAGUCGCCAGUGUCACCACCAACCUUUUGCCAUUGAGAAUCCACCACUGUCGAAGGAGUUGCUGGCAAGGUUAGCAAAUAGAAGAUGUGUUGUGUCGCUCAGAGGUCUUGGUUGCCGGUCCCACUCGAGUUUAGAUAUCUUUUUGAGUUAUUUGAUUUAUUUUCCACUGCCUUUGUUUAUAUUUGUACUUCUUAGCCAAAUUUUAUGUUCACAUGAACAUGCAUAUAUAUACACAUUUAAUUGGUAUGAGUGGUGGUUUUUUAUAUUGCAUCAAUGUUUGUGUUGACUUUUAUUGAUUUGAUAUCGGUUAUUUCCUAUAUUGUCAUUAGGAGGUAGCGUCCUGCUUGGCGGAUAAGUAUACCCUUGGGCGUGACAACUGUCAUGUGGAAAAUCAAAUAAAAAUGAAGGGGGGGGGAGGGGGGUAGGGUGAUCACUUCGAAGGGAAUCUACCUCCAAUAAUCAAGUGAAAUUGAUUAACCAAAAAAAAUUACUCGUCUUCCAAAGAUUACAACGUCUCUUUAAAUAGACACAUAAAGUACCUUUCCAAGAGAAAAGUCUAACUUAUUUAAAAGAAACAUAAACUUAUCUUAGAAAAUGAAAUAAACCUAAAGGAUUUAUUUCAUUAAAUGUAUUAAAGGAUCUUAUCCUAAAGAUAAAGUUUUAAAGGAUUUAUUUGAAUAGAUCCAUUAAAGGAUCUUAUCAGCCUGAUCGACCCUUCUCUUUGCUUCCUUCACCCUCGGCGCUAUGGAGACCCUUCACAAUGCCUAAUAUCUUCUUUGCACUGCCCUAAUCUUCUUCGCACUGCCCUAGUAUGUUACUCUUCUAGUGCCUCUUCCAUUUCUUCAAUGAUUGUUGAUCGAUUCUUUUGGGGGAUUGUUGCAUCCCCGCUAAUCUAGAUCUUUUAGGUCUAAAUGUUGGUGGUGGCUCAAGGUGAAGCUGCAGCUGAGGCAGCUUAGCAGGAUAUGGGAUUUCUUCCCAUUCGAGUAGGUUCUUGAUACAAUGCUCCAUGAGCUGUGCCACAUCAUGUGCGGGCUACACAAUGCCUCAUUCUAUAAGCUCUGGAAUGAGUUGCACAAGGAGAUUAUGAGAGUCUUCAAAAAGAAUUGUAUGAGCAGUUAUUCGUUGUUUCAAAAUAUAUCUCUGAUAUGGGCUCUCGGAGAAUAUCACACUCGUGUCUUGUGCCCUAUAGAUUACUAGUCUUGCCUCCUACAAUGGUGAUCUUUAAAUUGUGGUAUUGCCACAUCUCUAAAGGUCCAUGGCCCUUUUCCAAAGCAGAUAAUGGGUGGUCUGUCUUAGAUUGCACAACAAAAGGACUUAAAGGCAUCCCUCUUGUUAUCUAAGAUUCUUCAGAGAUUGUUGACGAUCCAAUUAAAGCAAGGAAGCUUUAUGAUGCAGUUAAUAUCUUCCUUUCACUAAUGGUAACAACACCAGAAAUAGAUGCAAACACUUAACAGUAACUUUUCUUCUAGUUGCAGUUAUGUUGCAGAACAAGGAUGGUAGUUUUGCUACUUAUGAACUUACUAUUGGAAAUAUUUUAUUUUGAUUA